AUUCCACCAAUUGGUUUCACACUAAGGAUUCAAUGGAGUGUUAGAUAACAGUCCGGUUAUGUAACCCUGCACUCAUCAGAGGUAGCCGAUAUGGAAUGAAA